rnacentral:rRNA from 1 species
GGCGAGUUACGAUCCCGUGCGAGGUUAAGCUGAAGAGGCGGAGCCGCAGCGAAAGCGAGUCUGAAUAGGGCGUUUAGUACGUGGUCGUAGACCCGAAACCAGGUGAUCUACCCAUGUCCAGGGUGAAGUUCAGGUAACACUGAAUGGAGGCCCGAACCCACGCACGUUGAAAAGUGCGGGGAUGAGGUGUGGGUAGCGGAGAAAUUCCAAUCGAACCUGGAGAUAGCUGGUUCUCCCCGAAAUAGCUUUAGGGCUAGCCUUAAGUGUAAGAGUCUUGGAGGUAGAGCACUGAUUGGACUAGGGGUCCUCAUCGGAUUACCGAAUUCAGUCAAACUCCGAAUGCCAAUGACUUAUCCUUAGGAGUCAGACUGCGAGUGAUAAGAUCCGUAGUCAAAAGGGAAACAGCCCAGACCGCCAGCUAAGGUCCCAAAGUGUGUAUUAAGUGGAAAAGGAUGUGGAGUUGCUUAGACAACUAGGAUGUUGGCUUAGAAGCAGCCACCAUUUAAAGAGUGCGUAAUAGCUCACUAGUCGAGUGACUCUGCGCCGAAAAUGUACCGGGGCUAAAUACACCACCGAAGCUGCGGAUUGAUACCAAUGGUAUCAGUGGUAGGGGAGCGUUCUAAGGACAGUGAAGUCAGACCGGAAGGACUGGUGGAGUGCUUAGAAGUGAGAAUGCCGGUAUGAGUAGCGAAAGACGGGUGAGAAUCCCGUCCACCGAAUGCCUAAGGUUUCCUGAGGAAGGCUCGUCCGCUCAGGGUUAGUCAGGACCUAAGCCGAGGCCGACAGGCGUAGGCGAUGGACAACAGGUUGAUAUUCCUGUACCACCUCUUUAUCGUUUGAGCAAUGGAGGGACGCAGAAGGAUAGAAGAAGCGUGCGAUUGGUUGUGCACGUCCAAGCAGUUAGGCUGAUAAGUAGGCAAAUCCGCUUAUCGUGAAGGCUGAGCUGUGAUGGGGAAGCUCCUUAUGGAGCGAAGUCUUUGAUUCCCCGCUGCCAAGAAAAGCUUCUAGCGAGAUAAAAGGUGCCUGUACCGCAAACCGACACAGGUAGGCGAGGAGAGAAUCCUAAGGUGUGCGAGAGAACUCUGGUUAAGGAACUCGGCAAAAUGACCCCGUAACUUCGGGAGAAGGGGUGCUUUCUUAACGGAAAGCCGCAGUGAAUAGGCCCAAGCGACUGUUUAGCAAAAACACAGCUCUCUGCGAAGCCGUAAGGCGAAGUAUAGGGGGUGACACCUGCCCGGUGCUGGAAGGUUAAGGAGAGGGGUUAGCGUAAGCGAAGCUCUGAACUGAAGCCCCAGUAAACGGCGGCCGUAACUAUAACGGUCCUAAGGUAGCGAAAUUCCUUGUCGGGUAAGUUCCGACCCGCACGAAAGGUGUAACGAUUUGGGCACUGUCUCAACCAGAGACUCGGUGAAAUUAUAGUACCUGUGAAGAUGCAGGUUACCCGCGACAGGACGGAAAGACCCCGUGGAGCUUUACUGUAGCCUGAUAUUGAAUUUUGGUACAGUUUGUACAGGAUAGGCGGGAGCCUUUGAAACCGGAGCGCUAGCUUCGGUGGAGGCGCUGGUGGGAUACCGCCCUGACUGUAUUGAAAUUCUAACCUACGGGUCUUAUCGACCCGGGAGACAGUGUCAGGUGGGCAGUUUGACUGGGGCGGUCGCCUCCUAAAGUGUAACGGAGGCGCCCAAAGGUUCCCUCAGAAUGGUUGGAAAUCAUUCGUAGAGUGCAAAGGCAUAAGGGAGCUUGACUGCGAGACCUACAAGUCGAGCAGGGACGAAAGUCGGGCUUAGUGAUCCGGUGGUUCCGCAUGGAAGGGCCAUCGCUCAACGGAUAAAAGCUACCCCGGGGAUAACAGGCUUAUCUCCCCCAAGAGUCCACAUCGACGGGGAGGUUUGGCACCUCGAUGUCGGCUCAUCGCAUCCUGGGGCUGUAGUCGGUCCCAAGGGUUGGGCUGUUCGCCCAUUAAAGCGGUACGCGAGCUGGGUUCAGAACGUCGUGAGACAGUUCGGUCCCUAUCCGUCGUGGGCGUAGGAAAUUUGAGAGGAGCUGUCCUUAGUACGAGAGGACCGGGAUGGACGCACCGCUGGUGUACCAGUUGUUCUGCCAAGGGCAUAGCUGGGUAGCUAUGUGCGGAAGGGAUAAGUGC